rnacentral:rRNA from 1 species
UACAGAGGGUGCAAGCGUUAAUCGGAAUUACUGGGCGUAAAGCGUGCGUAGACGGUUAUGUAAGUCAGGUGUGAAAGCCCCGGGCUCAACCUGGGAAUUGCAUUUGAGACUGCAUAGCUAGGGUGCGGAAGAGGAAGAGCGGAAUUUCCGGUGUAGCGGUGAAAUGCGUAGAUAUCGGAAGGAACACCAGUGGCGAAAGCGGCUUCCUGGUCCAGCACCGACGUUCAGGCACGAAAGCGUGGGGAGCAAACAGG